AGUUGAGCCAAUUAGCACCCUUAUCAUACACUUAAAUGUCCUCAAGAGUGAGAAUCACCCCGGCCAUCAACACGUUUUUAUUUGAGUUGCUAACUUUUGGUGAUAAUAAUAAUAAUAAUAAAACACCUUAAGAUGUGAAUAAAAACAGAUUAAAAAUUCAAAA